rnacentral:tRNA from 1 species
GCCUCAUUAGCGCAGUAGGUAGCACGUCAGUCUCAUAAUCUGAAGGCCGUGAGUUCGAUCCUCGCACGGGGCA